rnacentral:rRNA from 1 species
CCUACGGGUGGCAACAGUGAGGAAUAUUGGUCAAUGGCCGGAAGGCUGAACCAGCCAAGUCGCGUGAGGGAAUAAGGCCCUAUGGGUCGUAAACCUCUUUUGUCAGGGAGCAAAGGCGUCCACGUGUGGACGAGAGGAGAGUACCUGAAGAAAAAGCAUCGGCUAACUACGUGCCAGCAGCCGCGGUAAUACGUAGGGGGCAAGCGUUAUCCGGAUUUACUGGGUGUAAAGGGAGCAUAGACGGCAGCGCAAGUCUGGAGUGAAAUCCCAUGGCUUAACCAUGGAACUGCUUUGGAAACUGUGCAGCUAGAGUGCAGGAGAGGUAAGCGGAAUUCCUAGUGUAGCGGUGAAAUGCGUAGAUAUUAGGAGGAACACCAGUGGCGAAGGCGGCUUACUGGACUGUAACUGACGUUGAGGCUCGAAAGCGUGGGGAGCAAACAGGAUUAGAUACCCCUGUAGUC